AAUGGGCUUAGCCCAAAUAGAAAAAAUGGAGAAGCCCAUGGAGAGGGCCCAAUGGAAAGUUUGUCGUGGAGGUGUGCCGAACGAAGUAUGUGACCGACAAAUAGGAAUAAUUAUAUACGCGUACGAAUCAAUAGUGAAGUAAUAUCCCACUAUUAUGAGGUGAGUAGGGGGUGUCAAUUUUAAAAAUUUCGUAUAUAUAUACAUGUACGUAUAUUUUACGUGAAGUGCAAAAUUUAUGGAAAGCAUGCGUUGAUAGAAUUUUAA
rnacentral:sRNA from 1 species